rnacentral:lncRNA from 1 species
AUGUGCAUGGUUCCCUUUUGUCACAAGUUUGCUUGUUGUGGGUGUGUGGGGGUCACACCUAUGCUGUGGCCUUUUGAAGAUGAACCUCGAAAUACGCAGUCAUGCAGCGGGCAGGACAGUUCACGGAGCCCUGGGGCUUUGAUUCCCGCCCGUACCUGCACCCGGGAACGGGGGCAGCGGGCCGUGGGAGCAAGAGGCACCAGGCCUCCCUCAUGUGCAGACACGGGGAGCGGCCGGCGGCCACCCGCCCAUGUUGGGUGUGACCUGUGGGACACUGGAAAGGCUGUUUCCGGGGCUGGUGCGGUGGUCUGUCACGUAGGUCAGCCGGUGAGUGCGGUGGUCUGUCACGUAGGUCAGCCUGUGAGUGCGGUGGUCUGUCACGUAGGUCAGCCGGUGAGUGCGGUGGUCUGUCACGUAGGUCAGCUGGUCCCUGGAGCUGUGUGUCCGAGUGGCUCAAGUGACAGCAGUGUUUGGUCACAGUUCUGGAGGCUGAAGUCCACACCAAGACGUUUGUGGGUCGGUUUCCCCUGGGGGCCGGGAGGGAGGUUGUGUCCCGGCGUCUGUCCUUGCGUGGCUGGCGUCCGUCUUCCCCAUUUCUGUCCACGUGGUGCCCUUCCCACAAGUGUGUCUCUGUGUCCUGAGAUCAGGGCCCACCCUGGUGACCUCAUCUUCACAGGCGACUCUGCUCUGACCCUGUCUCUGACCCUGGAUCCUUCUGAGGCCCUGGGGGGCAGGCCCUCCGCGUGUGAAUCCCGGGAGGACGCGAUUCCACCCGUAAGCGCGAGCUGUCUUUAUUUGCCAGGAGCUCUUGUAAAGCCCUGAUUACUGCCGGGAUUUGGGUGGAUUAGGAGGGAACCGUUCGGCCGUGUACAGCGAGGCGCGUUCUGGGCGAGACCUGACGUGCGGGGCGCACGCUGCUGGGGCGGGCGGUGCGUGGCCCCAGCCUCUGAGCUCAUGCGGGAGCGCAAUCCUGGACAGCGCGUGUCCCUCCUCCCUCAGCGCCGGUGUCCGUGCUGGUGGGCGCCGAGGACCCUCUGGGGUCGGACAGGCUACGGCCGAGCCUGGUGUCCACGUGGGAUCCGGCCUAGGUUCACCUCCUUGUGCCCCACCUCCCACGGAAGUCACCGAAUGCCGCAUCCCUGGGGACAUGCUCCCUCGGCAGUGGCACCUCGCAGGGUCCAGGCCGUGGCCAGCGGCGGGACGCCCAGCCUAAACAGGAACAGUUUUAGGAAAAGAAGGAACUUGAAAAGGGACCGAUGACGAUUACUUGUCCUUUAUUCUUUGUUGUUUAUUAGGCCUUUGUUUCCAGUAAGAGAUCGGUUUUCUCUUCCCCAAGUUUUAUAGAAGAACAAAGGAGACCUGAAGUGUUUAACGAUUUUAUCUAAUUCCGUAACUUGUGAUUAUAUUGUAUUUCCCAGAAUGAGUUGGCUUUUUUUUUUUAAAUUAGGAAAAGAUUAGGAAAAGAAAACACAUAAAACAUUGAACCCCCUGAGCCUACACACCAGUCGAGGAAAGAACCUAUCACAGACAGUUGAAGCGAGAGAACUAGUGAAACUAAAAGCUUCUAAAAACCAUGUACGUGGAAAAGGGAAGUGGGCGGAAGACAGUCCCAAGAGUGCGUCAUAUCUGACCUCGUGCUGCCUGAGACAGUGCCUGAGGCCCCGUCCCCUGGGGGCCACAUCCCACGGGGGCCACGUCCCACGGGAGCCACGUCCCACGGGGGGGUCACAUCCCACGGGGUCACGCUGGAGACGGCCCACUCUGAUUUCGAUGUGUUCUCACUGUGAAAGGUGCAUCCACUCGAAGACUGAGUACAAAAAAAAGGGAUGUGAAAUGUCUCCGUCAUGUUCUUUUAUGUUGAUCAGAGGUUGAAAUAACACUAUUUGGGACUAAUUGGGUUAAAUAAACUAUGACUACAUGAUUUUUGUCUGUUUCUUGUGACUUUUUUAAUGUGGCCGCGGGAGAAUGUGACCCUGAAGGGCCUUGCCUCUGUGGCGCACGUCCUGUUCCCGCUAGACGGCGCUGGUCCUGGUUCCCGGGAGCUUCACGGGGCGGGGGUGGGGAGCCCCUCGUCUCCGAGACCCGCAGUCCCAGAGCGAGGGGGGCGAGCCUCGUGUGUGUCCGCCCGCCGGACCCCGUGCGUCCUCGUGCAAGCCUGUUCGUGGGCACUGCUCGCAGCGGGUCUGGCCGUUACCAAUGGCCCGGCGGGUUCGCUCCUCUUAGUGAAGUGUCCUGUAGCGGCUCCCGCACCGUGUGGACGGGGACCGUGGAGUGAGUCCACACCCAGAAUUUUAAAGGCUGUGUCUGUCUUCCACUGUGGAAAUGCUGGGGCGCGUCUACACUACGAGGGGGCCGUGCUUGCCUGUGGCAGGUGUGCCUGAGAGAGGCCGGCCCGGGAGCCCCACGCCUCCCCGGGGUUGCGCUGGGUUGACAAGGCAGUCGGCGUCUUCCCGGGCGCAUCUCGUGGGCGGCUACGCUCCUGGAAUGUUCUGUGUGGGCACCUCCUUCGCGGAGGGCCAGCCGGUUUCUCCGGCCACAGGUGUGCGGUGCUCCAAGCUCCACAGGUGUGCGGAGCUCCAACGUGCUUGGGCUGGGCUGCGUGAAGCUGCCCCCAGCUCCUCCUGUCACCUCCGGCCUUGGGGCCUUGGGGACGGCAGGCCGGCCGCCAAGCUGCCUCCUAGGCCUGGGCCCUGGACACAGGCUCUCCCUUGUCGCACAGACCGUGUGUCUCUGUGCCACGGGAGCAGAUACCGAGUGGCCGUGGGGCCAGCCAGGGGCUGACGCUGGCCCCGGGAGCCACACCCGCACCAAGGCCCCAGAGGCAUAAAGAGCCAGCCGCCCCGCUGUGGUGGGGUCUGCGGGGAGAAGCCCUGACUUGCACUGGGCUGGGCAGCCCUGACACAAAGGAGGGCGUAUCUUCUUCCCUCCUGGCUGGUGGCUCUGCCUCCUGCAGGUGCUGGGACCCUGGAGUCCUGGGCGUCCCUGGGCAGAAGGCCCCAGGACAGCACGGCCAGCAGGCCGCAAGGUGAUGGCCGGAGGUCCCUGGGACCCCGCCGGCCUGGUUCUGGAGUCUCUGCAAGCCACCUGCAGGAGGGCCAGCUGGGCCCUGGGGACUUCCCCCCAGCAGCCUUUAGCUCUGUUUCCUAGAAGAGGCACCUCUGACCCAUUGGUCACCACUGUCCCCAGGCAUCUGUGACCCUGAUCAGAGCCUUCAUGAACCUCCCCAAAUAGUCUCCAGGGCUGGGGACCAGGCCCCAGGUGCAGCCGGUGACCCCCCCGUCCCUCGUCCCCCUCCCCCACCCUGUCCUUUCCCUCUCUCUGUCAUGGGAACGUUUGAGGGCAGGCGAUAUGGGGAGUGGCCUUCGUUAGCAAUUACGCUUCCAGCUGGAGAACACACCGCGGGGCGGGGCCCCGGCCCCUCCGGCCGCCGCUGCGUUCUCACUGCCCCUCUGGGAGAAGCACCUGCGCUUCCCUGUCUAAGCGAGCCUGUGUGGCCACGUGACCUGUGUGGUCACUGCCCCCGGCUAAGGUCCACCUGGACCGUGGACACCCCGUUGCGCUGACCGUGUCACCGUCUCUUUUGUUCCCGCAUCUGCCGUCCCCUCCCCUGUCCCCCUCACCACCCAGGACACCAGAGUCUGGCACGGGGGUGCCAACGUCCCCAGUGGGUAGCCUCCGGGCAGGAGCAGAGGCCCCCAACUGCCGGGCACCUGCAGAGUCACGAACAUCCUGCCCCGUGUCUCUCCCACGCUCGCGGGCUGCUGUCUGGUGCCACUGGUUUGGAUGGAGACGUGUCGUCCACUUCCGCAGCCGCCGCCCGGCCGCCGCGCGCAGAGGUGACCGUCCUGCCUGUGGCUGUUUGGGUUUCUGCGUCUCCUUAAGCUUCUCGCCAAUUGCUCUUCCCAGGACUUUGUCCUUCCGGCUUCGUUGAAAGUCUGUUCCCCUAUAGCUGCUCCUCAAGCCCCCCGGGUCUCAGAAACCCCGCAGCACUGGGCUCUUGCCCCAGCAUUAUUCGUGCGUCUCUGUCUCGGUCUUGUCCCGCUUGUCAAAACUCUGUCAAUUUCAUCGAUCCUCUCAAAGAGCCAACUUCCCGGCUUUCCGUACAGUUUUUAGUUCAUUCAUUUCUGCUUUUUAAAUUAUUUCCUUUUUCCUGUGCUUUUUGUUUCUCUAACUUCGUGAGUCGUAUUCUGUCUCAUUUGUUUUCAACCUCUUAGAAUUUCCUGCCGCACUUAGGUGUCACCCUUCCCUGAUGAUCGAAGAUCUGGACCGUUUAAGCCUUUAUAAGUUGUGACAGGAAACCCUUUGUUACUGUUCCACUCCGUGGGUUUUUAGAUACGUAAUUUUUUUCACCAUUGAUAACUGUUUUGCAUUUCUAAAUAUAUGGAGAUUUUCCAAACAUCUUUUUGUUGCCUUUUUAAAAUUAUUAUUAUUUUG